rnacentral:rRNA from 1 species
GAUGAACGCUGGCGGCGUGCCUAACACAUGCAAGUCGAGCGAACGGACCAGAUUCUUGCUUCUCUGAUGUUAGCGGCGGACGGGUGAGUCACACGCGGCUUACCUCUCUCUUAGACUUGGAUAACUUCGGGAAACCGGAGCUCAUACCACUUAAUAUCUUGCACCUCAUGGUUCAAAAGUGACACACGCUCUUGCUGUCACUUAUAGAUGGAUCUGCGUUGCUUUAGCUAGUUGGUCAGGUAACGGCUUAGCAAGGCAACGAUGCAUAGCCGACCUGAGAGGGUGGGCGGCAACACUGGAACUGAGACAAGGUCGAGAGGCCUACGGGAGGCGGCAAUAGGGAAACGGCCGCAAGGGGCGAAAGCCUGACGGAGCAACGCCGCGGGAGUGAGGAAGGUCUUCGGAUCGUAAAACACUGUUAUUGGGGAAGAACAUAUGUGUAAGAGACAGUGCACGACUUGACGGUACCUAAUCAAAAAGCCACGGCUAACUACGUG